AGACUAGAGGUCAGACUAGAGGUCAGACCACAGGACCCGGACCACAUAUCAGACUCGAGGUCAGACUAGAGGUCAGACUAGAGAUCAGAAUAGAGGUCAGAAUA